rnacentral:rRNA from 1 species
UACGUAGGGUCCAAGCGUUAGUCGGAAUUACUGGGCGUAAAGCGUGCGCAGGCGGUUGUGCAAGACCGAUGUGAAAUCCCCGAGCUCAACUUGGGAACUGCGUUUGAAACUCCAAAGCUAGAGUAUAGGAGAGGGGGGUAGAAUUCCACGUGUAGCAGUGAAAUGCGUAGAGAUGUGGAGGAAUACCAAUGGCGAAGGCAGCCCCCUGGCCUAAUACUGACGCUCAUGCACGAAAGCGUGGGGAGCAAACAGGAUUAGAAACCCUAGUAGUCC